UAAACAGAAUUUGUAAUUUUAUUCAUAAUGCCUUGCUUUGGUAACAAUAGUUAGAACAUUCAACUCGAACAUUCCAUCACACAUAUAACCUUUUUCCUACAUACAUCUCAAAACACAAACUUGUUGGACACAAAUACAAGUUGUUGGACACUGAAUUCUUGUGUAUGUCCGGCACAUGUAGGAAGUUGUUGAGGACAAGCUCUUUCACGGAUGUCAUCUUCAAUGUGACUUUGUCUUUUCCUUCGAUCCUGGAACUUGCAGCCUUUCCCAUGAAAAGUUGUUUCUCAUUCAACUCUUGAUAGUCAGAGAACAUUCCCUUAUCGGCACAUACAUGGCGGGUAGCACUGGUGUCAACCUGCCAUUCCUUUGUGUUGCCUAUCAUAUUGCACUUGGAAACAACCACAGAGAGGCUUAUCUCUUCUAUUCCUUUGGAUAGGAUGUCCUUCUCGACCAUGUGGGUCUGUGCAUUCUUCUUUUGUUUUUGACAUUCGCUUGAGCUAUGUCUGGUCUUCUCACAAUCAUAGUAGUUUCCUACAAAAAAAAUUGGCCUUCUUAGAGUUAUCUCUAUGCGGUGCAUCAUCAGAGAUCUUUCGCUUCUUGUUGACCUUUGGCUUGAUUUCGACGAUGUUUGCUUAAAUUUAAAAAAUAGGCUUCUUUUCGAUCUUCCUAUUAUCUUCCUCAAUUCUAAAGCAGACGAUCAACUCUUCGAAGUUCAUCUCUUUACGUUUGUAUUUGAGAUAGUUUUUGUAAUCUCUCCACAAAGAAGGGAGUUUUUCGAUGAUAGCUGCAACUUGGAAUGACUCACUCAGUUCCAUUUUUUUGGCAUAGAUGUCGUGCAAUAAGACUUGGAUCUCAUGCACUUGGCUGAUCACUGUUUUUGAAUCCACCAUUUUGUAAUCCAAAAACUUGUGAACAAUGAACUUUUUGGUUCCGACAUCCUCGGUCUUGUACUUUUUUUCCAUUGAAUCCUGUAGAUCCUUAGCUGAUUUUUUCGACCUGUACAUGCCAUAUAGUGUGUUAUCCAAUCCAUUAAGAAUAUAGCCCUGCAGAAAGUCGGAGUACUUCCAUGCAUCCAAAGCAAUGAUUGACUCACAGUUGUUUUUCCUUCUUGUACGACGAGGGCGAUUUGCUUAAAAAAACUUAGCUAGAUUUAGCGUAGUGAGAUAAAAUAAUAUCUUUCAUUACCAUCUCUUAAAGUCUACGCCAUCGAACUUUUCUGAUUUCUCCCUAUGUCGGAUUGACAUAGUUUGAAUUGGUAUCGCCAUUGGAGGAGCCAUAUUAUUUGCUCUAGGCGGGAGAAAAAUUUCUAUUCUGGUUUGACUUAUAUUAGGCUCAAUGGAAGUCAUUUCUGUUACACAAACAAAAGUUCAGCUUAGUAACAACGAGAAAAAUGAAUAGUGCACGAAGACUACUCCAAAGUAGAGUGUUUAAAGCAACACCAACUGCAAACGUUCAAGUUUGUCUUAAGUUUGUUGUUCCGAGUAUUUAUAUUAGGGGUAUAAUGGUUAUAUAUGUUGUAAAUGAACAAAGUUUUAAUCCUCAAGUGCAUAGUCAAAACACUAUUAUUGUAAGCAAAAUUUUUAACCCACUGGAGCGCAAUUAGAAUACAAUAUAAGGACACAAAGCAUAUGACUAAAACGAUCACGCAAAAUCAAAAUAAAAUAAUAAGGAGCGGCAAAAUAAAUCUGAGGUGAGUAUACCUCUUUCCUUAAGACAAAUUGCCCCACUACGGUGCUCAAGGUUGAAUGGUAAAUGUCUCCCAAGAUACAACGGAUACACACUUGUGGUAACAGCACUUCAAACCACAAGAACGGCGAAACUUCGUCUGAAUUUUUCCUCUACAAAUGAAUGUUAUGAGAAUAAGAGAAAGAGGAAUUGCAAGAGAAGAAUGGAU
rnacentral:lncRNA from 1 species